CCUACGGGCGGCAGCAGUGAGGAAUAUUGGUCAAUGGCCGGAAGGCUGAACCAGCCAUGCCGCGUGAAGGUCAGUGCCCUAUGGGCGUUAAACUUCUUUUGUGCGGGAGCAAUAAUGGUCACGUGUGGCCAGACGAGAGUACCGUACGAAUAAGCAUCGGCUAACUCCGUGCCAGCAGCCGCGGUAAUACGGGGGAUGCCAGCGUUAUCCGGAUUUAUUGGGUUUAAAGGGUGCGUAGGCUGUGAGGUAAGUCAGCGGGGAAAUGCCCCCGCUCAACGGGGUGAAGUGCCAUUGAUACUGCCUUGCUGGAAUGCGGAUGCCGUGGGAGGAAUGUGUGGUGUAGCGGUGAAAUGCAUAGAUAUCACACAGAACACCGAUUGCGAAGGCAUCUCACGAAUCCGCGAUUGACGCUGAUGCACGAAAGCGUGGGUAUCAAACAGGAUUAGAUACCCCAGUAGUC
rnacentral:rRNA from 1 species